rnacentral:rRNA from 1 species
UACGGAGGGGGCUAGCGUUGUUCGGAAUUACUGGGCGUAAAGCGCACGUAGGCGGCUUUGUAAGUUAGAGGUGAAAGCCCGGGGCUCAACUCCGGAAUUGCCUUUAAGACUGCAUCGCUAGAAUUGUGGAGAGGUAAGUGGAAUUCCCGAGUGUAGAGGUGAAAUUCGUAGAUAUUCGCAAGAACACCAGUGGCGAAGGCGGCUCACUGGCCCGGUACUGACGCUGAGGUGCGAAAGCGUGGGGAGCAAACAGG